AUCGCUUCUCGGCCUUUUGGCUAAGAUCAAGUGUAGGAUGCAGUUAGAAAUUAACAGAGGAACAAGAAAGGAAUGAUGCAAUCUACAUACAUAUACAGUGGAAUUUUAAUCAGCUUUAAAGAAGAAUUAAACUUUGGUAUUUCCAGGAAAUACUUCUUUACUUCUUCUAUCUAGAAGUAAAGAUCA